rnacentral:tRNA from 1 species
GCCCCUAUGGCGGAAUUGGUAGACGCGAUAGAAUCAGAGUCUAUUGUCGCAAGAUGUGUCGGUUCGAGUCCGACUAGGGGCACCA